rnacentral:lncRNA from 1 species
GAAAGAGCGUAGAUUCAAAUAUAAACUUACCUAAUGAUACGCUCAAACUGUUCCUUCCAUUUUGGGACCAGGGAACAGAGCUCACUUAAUGCUGCUCUCCCACUGAUGAUGCCCACCCAUUCUCGGCCUGCAAGCCCUACCACUCACAGCUUCAAAAAUGGCUCCGCCCUUCCUGAUUCCACCCCACACAGAAGAAAGCAACUUCUUGUGAUGCUUCCUUAUUCUGGAUGUGGCUCACCUCUUACCCCUUCCAACUCCUUUGGGUCCCCUAGAAAGCCUCCCUGGCUAAGGGGUACAGGCCCUCUCCUCAGCAGUGGGCACUGACCGUCUAACCAGGGCUCUGUCUCGGCACCUGGUAGCAAGGACGGCAAGAUACAACAACAUGCUGAUUUUAAUAGCCUCUGGCUUUCUCCACUGCGUUUCUCACCUGAAUGCCCUGCACACCAAAUCUUCCAUGGGGUCACCCUUGACCUCUAGGGCAAUUCCCAAGAAUCUAGCAGAGGAGUGGGGGAAACCAAAAGGCUGACAUGAAGGACUCAAGGGAAGCCUCUGGAAAGAAGAGACCAGACACUAAAAGGGAUGUGUGUGAAAUACUGGUUUUUAUUGGUUGGCACAAGAUUACAACCUACAAUUUCAAUGCCCUUCCCUCCCACACAGCUCAAAUGGAAGGAAACUGAUUAACACAUAGAAAGGAACGGCAGGCUCACAGGUUUAAGCAUUUGUUUUUACAAAAAGGAGUGGGAUAUGGGGGUGGUCAAGUUUUACGGGUAAUAACAACAUUCUCUCUAGAUGGCAGGGGGUAAGUCUGCCUGUCCUCCAUUGCUGGUACCACAUAAGGGAUACAUUAGUAAAGUAGGGAAAGGGUUAUAUGUGUGGCUGGCCUGUUCUUUAGAGAGGAAGGUGGGAUGGUAUCUGCUGUGUACCUGUCUCAGACCAAACCUGGGGCUGGACCAGUGCCCCUUUCUUCUCAGCCCUCCUCCACAGCCUGACUGUACUGCCAGCCGCACCCAUGAGAAGGAGGUGUGAAGGAAGCCUGAGGACAUCCACCUCGAGAAAAGGAAACAGGAAAACUAUUUCCUUCCGCCUUCUCUGGACCAAAUUUCACUCCCCUCAGCUCCAGAGAGUGCUGCAAAAAUCUUCCUUAGGGACGCUGUGAAGACACGGGGAAGAGGCCAGCCCUGAGCGGGCAAGAAGAAAAGCUUGAACUUUCCAUGCAGUACCAAGCAAGGCUAUUUUGGAAACAAGCAAACAAACAAAAAAUGGAAACCAACACCAUAUAACCACAGGUUGGGUAGCUCCUAAAUCCUGGACAGCAUUUGGAUUGGGGGUAAGGGCAAUUUUACUCCAGCUCCUUGUUUUAUAACCCGCACAAGGUGCCAAGAGGUUUAAGGACCACAACUGACCUCUCUUUCCCUACAAGCACCAUUCCUUGGAUUCCCAGUUUUGUUGAGCUCAUUUGAGGUCAUCCUUGCCAUCCUCUUAAAAAAUGACACAGCCUCUUGGUUAUUCCAUUUUCUAUCCCUUUCUACAAUUAUGAACACACUCUCUAAACAGGAGAUCUAUAUAUGCUCUCAUCCUGCAACCCAAGAGAUUAGGUGACCUAAUGAUGAGAAGGCUAACUUAUUUGCUUUCCUGGGUGGUCCUGAUGGAAAUGAACAGCAGCAGAGUUCUGGUGGGAUAGAGCAGUCUAGUCUGAGCCACUGUGUGAUUCCCCAGGGGACUGGUCCCUGGGUACAUGGGUCCCUGGCUCUCUGUCUCAGUUCCACAGAUAUUACUCAACUUGGCCAUUUACGCCUCAGCUAAAACAUAUGAGCAUGAGGGAAAAGGGACAAGAAAUACUUUUGUCCUCUAGAAAAACUUAACUCAAUACAUCUUGGCUACUUUGCCUCAACCCACGGGGUUCCCUGGAAACAUUUGUUGAACUUGGCCAAGAGGAGAUUGUAUAUGGAUGGCACACCUGGAAAAGGGGAGAAAGCACACUAGUUCAUCUCUUUUAUAAGUAGAAUGGUCCCAGGGAUGUUAACCUUUCUGAUGCUGAUAGUAGAUGAGUGGAGUGGAGGUAAUCGUGAGAAAACUUAAAAACCCUUAAGCUGUUUGGAGACUACACACCACAGUGGAGCAAACCAAGGUGGGGCCUCACUGCCUCCUCAGAGCCCAUCCCUGACCAUGUCAUUGGAUAGGAUGGAAGACAAAGUCUUUGAAAUGGAGGCUGGGCUGGCAAAAGUAAGUAUGAAGAUGCUACUACUGGCCUUCCACUUCCUCUCUCUGAUACACCUAAGAAGGUGAGAGACACUAGCUUCAAUUCCAUUUUACAACAGUUCUCAACAACCUGAAAUAUUCUUGACUUCCUUAAGCACAUGGAAAACUGGUGAUAUCCCAAGUGACACAGAAACACAGCUCCUCCGGAUGGUGAAGUCUCCGCUGCAAAACUCACGAAACAGCACAGAGGAUGACUCUAGGGUGCUCUCCCACUUGCUCCAAGUUAGGCAGGUGCCCUGAUGGAGGCAAGGCUGAGCCAUUAACAUGCACAGCUCCAUAUCCUGGAAGCCUCUGUAGCCUUGAGGAGAUAGGCUCUAUCCAACAGGACUCAGAAUAAAUGACUGCCACCUCAACUGAGCAGUAUGAACUGCCCACCUCAACUGGGCAGUCUGACCUCUUCCACAGUCUUUAAGAAACAGAAGAGCCAUUUGCAUUAUUUAAUCACCAUUCAAUAAUCUCCUCCCUCCCCAUAGCUGCUUGAGUUAACUGUCCCACAAGUGUCCUGUGUUUUGUAAAGAUGAGGGUUAUUUUCUGAAAUGCAGAUGGGACUAGGAUGAAGCUGUAUUAUCAAUUACAGAGACAGCCAACUCUCAUUUCUCUUAAAGCAAAAAUUCAUUCCACUGUGAUUUCUCCAGGUAUUUCCUGCAAUUCUAAAUCCGCCCUUGAUAUUAGAGAAUAUUAAAAUCACACAGUUGUGGCAAAAAUCACAUUGUGGCUAUUAAAUCCUUUUUGUGAACUAAAAAAAGUGAAUGUGGCUUAGGCUAAGCUGUUUUUUUUUUUUUUUUUUUAAAGAUGAGGAUGCGGACUCCAACAAAGGCAUUAAGAAAGUACUAGAUGAAAAUGAGAAAUAUGUGAAGGAUAACAUGUGAAAUGUACACUCAGGUCUAACAAAUACCUAUUAUUUCUCUGGUUAAGAAGGUUUAGCAGGAGCCUCCAAUGAGCACUGUAUGUAGAGAAAAGGGAAGGAGCAGGAGGAGGAACAGAUCUGCACAGAAUUUUUUUCUUAAAAACCACAAAGGGUGACUUUUUUCUUCUAAGCAAGCAAGCCUGAGAGGCAUUACAUGGGCUGGCUCCUAAUAUCAAAACAAAAUAUUUCUUUGCCACAAAGGAACUUGACUAUGUAGCAACACAUUUACAAAACUACUGCAAAACACUCCCAGAGGGCAGUGACCUACUCUGCUCCCCAGAGGCUCCAAGAAGCAAGGCCUCAAGUGCCUCAUGUUCCAUGGGGCUGUGCAGUGCAAUGCAGAAGGCGGAAAUCCUGCUGUGACGCCACCCUCGAGACCUUCUGCAGCCUGAGAGGGGGUGAUACUCCCACACCCUUUGAUCCUUCCAGAUGGCUCAGCCUAGAUCUAGCAGUGAGAGAGCCCUCUCCAUGCAGGGCAGAUGGAGUGGUGGACACUUGUGAAAACAAAACACUAACUGUUCCAUCCUGUUAUAUUUGCUGUGAGGAAAAUUAAGAUUCCUGUUGUAUGGGCUGCACUGUUUCUGGAAGACUACAGAAAAUCUAACAUGGUUGACACUUCCUGGUAGCCCUUCUGUACAUACACACACACACACCCAGAGAGAAGACAGAGAGAAAAUCCUGGUCCAAAAGAUCACAUGACCUUACUAGUGUUUCCCCAAUGACUGUAAUUUAUAAACUAAAAAUUUUUACAAAUCCACUGCUAUCUUCUUCUGUCCUGAGUUUGGUAGACUUUAAUGGAUGCUCCAGCAAUAACCAGAAUCUAGGACAUGCAGACUCACUGUGAGCGAGAGGCUAGGGAUCUGCCCUAAACAUAGGAACCUGUUUCUAUCAAGCCUGAAUGAGGUCAGCUCUGGUAGAAUUAAUGACAAAUCAAUGUCAGUGAAAUAUUCUGCAAACAGGGUAGCUUUUGUGCUUUCUUUUGAUUAUUUUCUUUGGGGAGAUAAAGGUAUUGCAACCAUGGGUCUAACUAAUCUAUCACUAAAGGACUGUGACGACAUUCUCAAUAAAGACAGUCAUGGUGUUUACUGUGCCAAGGAGGGAAAAUCCCAGAUCAUCAGAAUCCCAGUGCAACAGAAAACAGCACCAGUUUCAACAAUUCUGAUGUUGGACAAAGCCUCUUUUUGUCAGUUAAGAAAGCGUAAGCACAAUCUCUCAGUCAAUUGCAUUAACAGGAAUCCAUUCAUGUCACUGAAAAAUACUUCUUGGCACAGUUCACUUUCCUGACCCAAAGACACCAACAACAAUCAAAACUGCACUUUCAGGGUAGUAUAUUGUUACACUAGCCCAGUCAAAACAUACUCAGAACAUUUAAAAAUGUAUAAAUUACUGUUAGCACUGCAGUUCCGUUUUAUUUUCUUAUUUAUUUAUUAAGACAGAGUCUUACUCUGUUGCCCAGGCUGGAGUGCAGUGGCAUGAUCUUGGCUUACUGCAACCUCUGCCUCCCAGGUUUAAGCAAUUCUCAUGCUUCAGCCUACCAAGUAGCUGGGAUUACAGGAGUGCACCAUCAUGCCCAGCUAAUUUUUGUAUUUUAGUAGAGAUGGGGUUUUGCCAUGUUGGUCAGGCUGGUCUCAAACUCCUGGCCUCAAGUGACCCACCUGCCUUGGCCUCCCAAAGUGCUGGGAUUACAGGUGUGAGCCACUACACCCAGCCCUGCAGUCCCUUUUUAAAGAGUACUGACUGUUUUCCUGCAAAGUACUUUCAAAUCCAUACCAUAAAGGUAGAAUUUAUCUGGAAGAAUGUGUUUUUUGAAUUCCACCUGGCACUUGGUUAAAUCUACUUUAUUUUGCCCUUUAUUUAUUUGAACAGAACUUUAGAAUGCUCUAGGUCAGGAAAAGAAACAGUGUGUUCGUUUUUAAGAAGGAUGUGUGAAUAGUAAGUUGGCAUUCAGACUCAAGUCCCAUGGUAUUGUUCUUAUCCAAUGGGACCUCUCCUUGGGAAUAUAAUUCCUUUCCCAGAGGUAUCAUGGUAUCCCAAGAAUAUAACUGCUCUUUGGCUCUGUGUGUGAAGAUUGGGGGAGAGGAUGUAAACUAAG